AAUAACGUGUCGCGAUGGAUGACUUGGCUUCUAUCUCGUUGAAGAACGCAGUAAAGUGCGAUAAGUGGUAUCA
rnacentral:rRNA from 1 species